UACGUAGGGUGCAAGCGUUGUCCGGAAUUAUUGGGCGUAAAGAGCUCGUAGGCGGUUCGUCGCGUCGGCUGUGAAAACCCGGAGCUCAACUCCGGGCCUGCAGUCGAUACGGGCGGACUUGAGUGUUGCAGGGGAGACUGGAAUUCCUGGUGUAGCGGUGAAAUGCGCAGAUAUCAGGAAGAACACCCGUGGCGAAGGCGGCUCUCUGGAACGCAACUGACGCUGAGACGCGAAAGCGUGGGGAGCAAACAGG
rnacentral:rRNA from 1 species